rnacentral:rRNA from 1 species
UUUAAGGUCUAAUCUGCCCAAUGAAUAGUUUAAUGGCCGCAGUAUCUUGACUGUGCAAAGGUAGCAUAAUAAUUAGUUUUUUAAUUGAAAGCUGGUAUGAAUGAUUGGACGAGGAAUUUACUGUCUCUAUUCAAUUUAAUUAAAAUUUUAUUUUUAAGUUAAAAAGCUUAAAUGUCUAUGAAAGACGAGAAGACCCUAUAGAGUUUAAUAUUUGGAUUUUUAAUUAAUUAAUUAAGGAUUUUUUUUUAUAAUUUAAUUUAAAUAUUUAAUUGGGGUGAUUGAGAAAUAAAAUUAACUUUCUUUUCUAUUUUACAUUUAUUUAUGAAUUGGUGAUCCAUUUUUUAUGAUUAUAAGAUAAAAUUACCUUAGGGAUAACAGCGUUAUUUUCUUUGAGAGUUCAUUAUCGAAAGGAAAGUUUGCGACCUCGAUGUUGGAUUAAAAU